GAUGAACGCUGGCGGCGUGCCUAACACAUGCAAGUCGAACGGAAAGGCCCUGCUCUUGUGGGGUGCUCGAGUGCCGAACGGGUGAGUAACACGCGAGUAUCCUGCCCUUGUCUUUGGGAUAACAUCACGAAACUGGGGCUAAUACAGGAUAGGAGCUCCUGAUCCACGGUGGGGGUUGGAAAGUUUCGGCGGUUGGGGAUGGUCUGGCGGCUUAUGAGCUGGUUGGUGGGGUAGUGGCUUUCCAAGGCUUCGACGGAUAGCCGGCCUGAGAGGGUGGACGGCGACAUGGGGACUGAGAGACGCAGCAGACGCGUAUGGGAGGCAGUGGUCGGGAAUAUUGCACAGUGGGGGGAAGCCUGAUGCGGCAACGCCGCGAGCGGGAAAACGGGCUUCGGGGGAAAAACCACUUUCGCCGGAGACGAAGAGGGAGUGACGGUAAUGGGUAAAGAAGCACCGGCUAACUACGUG
rnacentral:rRNA from 1 species